rnacentral:lncRNA from 10 species
CAAAGAUCACUCGGGACCACCUUGUAUAUUGGCUACCACAGAACCCAACACAAGCAGUAAGUUAAAAUCAUGAAGCUCCUGACGUCAGAGGACAUGGCUCUGCCAUUUGUUAGGUAGGGAUCCUGUUAAAGGCUCAGCUUCCUCAUCUGGAAAUGGAAAUAUAGGCCUUGCCUGGUUUGCUGUAAUGGGUCGUGAUGAGGACCAAACUACAAAGAGUGGUACAGAUGUUAAUUACAAUGAUUUUUCCUAUGCCACCCAUGGAAACAAAAAUAGCAAGAUAGAGAAGGCUAAAUCCCAGUUUUUUUUGACUGCUAUUCAGCAAAGCCUAGGAGACUUUCAUGACACCUGGAGAGGCGGCCGUAGUGUAUGUGUAAGAGUACCGGUUCCAGAGUGGGGCUCCCCGAGCUCAGCCCCACCACUUACCAACAGCGGACCUUGGGCCAGAUGCUGAAGCCCUUUGUGCCUUGGUUUCCUGACCUAUUACUGUGGAAAUGAUGACAGUACCCUCCUCAUGGCAUCGUGAGAAUUAAAUUAGCUAAUUCAGGUGAAGCAUUUAGAAGAGGACCUCCUGACACUUAAUAACUGCUUGAUAUAAAUAAUAGCUUCUGCUACAGAGUGGCCAUGAAGUCUGGACAUGUAGAUAUUAUAUUAUCAUGCAUCAUAAGGUAGUUGAUCUGGUGUGAGAUUCCAACCUCGUGUGAGAGAGGAGAAGACCUUCAUUACACUAAUUCAUGCUGGCCCAGCCUCCAGGCCACCCCAGAUGUGAGGUGCUGUUAACACUGCUCUCAGCACUGCAAUGAAUGCUGCUGCACACGCUGUUGAGCUCGUGGACACUUUCCUGCUGGGUGAGGACCCGAACGUGAAAUUGCUGGGUCAUGGAUUCAAGUGCUACACAUAUUUUUGACCACAUUACUGUGACUCAGGAAGCCCAGGAACAGAAUUCUAGGCACCAGAACCAUACAUGUUACAGCCUCUGAGCUUUAUGGCCUCUGAGCCAUUUGUCCAGCCACAUCAUUUGCAGAUGAGAUCCUGAGACUCAGGCUGGAAAAGUGACCGGGGAAAAGUCACACAAGUCAGAGGCAGAGCUGGAGUUUCCUCAUUUCCAGGCCCGUAUAGAUCAAGACGGACGUUGGUCAAACACCUCCUAGUACUCACAUGAAGAAGCUCUCCUUUCUGCUGUAGGAAUGAUCACACACCAUUCCAAUCUGGAUACCAAAUGUCAUUGUUUAUUAAAUGUGUGCAGUGUGCCAGGCAUAUUGUGUCAUAUGUUUACAUGUGUCAUAUAUUUACAUUACAUAUGAUCGCUGGUUCUUACAACAACCCUUCAAGACAGGUCAUAUCAAGCCCAUUUUUCAGACGGGAAAAAGAGCUCAGAGGGGAUGAUUAGCUUGUUCAGGUUUUCCAGUUUCCUUAGGAAGUGGCAGAGCUGGAUCUGAACUCUGCUUGUGACUACUUGGGGGAUGGAGGAGUGAACUCCUUUUUAUCAGAUCCUGGCUGCUUCGGCACCAGAAGAAUGCUUCUUCCCCCUCAGGCCCUGGGGGGUUCCUCUAAAGAAUAGAGACUCCCGGCUUUCCAUGAGACAAAAAGCAGGCAAUUCAACACGGCAAGCCCUUAAUAUACCUGCACGUUUCUCUGUAAGGACUGAUUUAGAAAGCGGACUCACAGCCACUGCACUGAUAGCAGUUUCUAUUCUAAAACCUAUGGAAAUUGUGAACACUUGCCCCCAAAAACUCUCCCAGAAACCUUUAGGACAGUGAGGCUGUGUUCAGAAACUAAUUGCACCCAUAUCUGAGGAGCUACCACAUGAACUUCAUUAUUCACAGAA